rnacentral:rRNA from 1 species
GACGAACGCUGGCGGCGUGCUUAACACAUGCAAGUCGAACGGAAAGGCCCUGCUUUUGUGGGGUGCUCGAGUGGCGAACGGGUGAGUAACACGUGAGUAACCUGCCCUUGACUUUGGGAUAACUUCAGGAAACUGGGGCUAAUACCGGAUAGGAGCUCCUGCUGCAUGGUGGGGGUUGGAAAGUUUCGGCGGUUGGGGAUGGACUCGCGGCUUAUCAGCUUGUUGGUGGGGUAGUGGCUUACCAAGGCUUUGACGGGUAGCCGGCCUGAGAGGGUGACCGGCCACAUUGGGACUGAGAUACGGCCCGGACUCCUACGGGAGGCAGCAGUGGGGAAUAUUGCACAAUGGGCGGAAGCCUGAUGCAGCAACGCCGCGUGCGGGAUGACGGCCUUCGGGUUGUAAACCGCUUUCGCCUGUGACGAAGCGUGAGUGACGGUAAUGGGUAAAGAAGCACCGGCUAACUACGUGCCAGCAGCCGCGGUGAUACGUAGGGUGCGAGCGUUGUCCGGAUUUAUUGGGCGUAAAGGGCUCGUAGGUGGUUGAUCGCGUCGGAAGUGUAAUCUUGGGGCUUAACCCUGAGCGUGCUUUCGAUACGGGUUGACUUGAGGAAGGUAGGGGAGAAUGGAAUUCCUGGUGGAGCGGUGGAAUGCGCAGAUAUCAGGAGGAACACCAGUGGCGAAGGCGGUUCUCUGGGCCUUUCCUGACGCUGAGGAGCGAAAGCGUGGGGAGCGAACAGGCUUAGAUACCCUGGUAGUCCACGCUGUAAACGGUGGGUACUAGGUGUGGGGUCCAUUCCACGGGUUCCGUGCCGUAGCUAACGCUUUAAGUACCCCGCCUGGGGAGUACGGCCGCAAGGCUAAAACUCAAAGGAAUUGACGGGGCCCCGCACAAGCGGCGGAGCAUGCGGAUUAAUUCGAUGCAACGCGUAGAACCUUACCUGGGUUUGACAUGGAUCGGGAGUGCUCAGAGAUGGGUGUGCCUCUUUUGGGGUCGGUUCACAGGUGGUGCAUGGCUGUCGUCAGCUCGUGUCGUGAGAUGUUGGGUUAAGUCCCGCAACGAGCGCAACCCUUGUUCACUGUUGCCAGCACGUUAUGGUGGGGACUCAGUGGAGACCGCCGGGGUCAACUCGGAGGAAGGUGGGGAUGACGUCAAGUCAUCAUGCCCCUUAUGUCCAGGGCUUCACGCAUGCUACAAUGGCUGGUACAGAGAGUGGCGAGCCUGUGAGGGUGAGCGAAUCUCGGAAAGCCGGUCUCAGUUCGGAUUGGGGUCUGCAACUCGACCUCAUGAAGUCGGAGUCGCUAGUAAUCGCAGAUCAGCAACGCUGCGGUGAAUACGUUCCCGGGGCU